GGAGGGUGGCAGAGUGGUCGAUCCGCACGCUUGGAAAGCGUGUAGGUGUAAAGCCUUCGAGGGUUCGAAUCCCUCUCUCUCCGCCA
rnacentral:tRNA from 1 species